rnacentral:misc_RNA from 1 species
GUGAAUCAUCAAAUUUUUGAACGCAAAUUGCGCUUCCUGGCAUCCCGGGAAGUAUGCCUGUUUGAGGGUCAGUAUUAACAAAAAAUCGGUUUGGUUGCAAAUUGUGACGUUUCCGGAGUUUGGGCUAUCUUAACUUUUUGGUUAAGGGGCUUAAAAUUGACCUUUUUUGCGCAUUUUUAGACGUACAUAAAUUUUUUUUUUUUUUCUUUUUUCUUUAUUCCCAAAUCUUUUUUGAUUCCGUCAA